ensembl:lncRNA DENND3-AS1 DENND3 antisense RNA 1
AUUCGAAGAAAAAGGAGGAGAUGCCAUCUGGCAAAUUCGAGGUCCUUCCAAAGUGCCUACGGAAAGCUUUGUCCCAUCCUUGAAAAAUUGCUAAUGGGUUUGGAGAUACGAGGUGGAGAUGACUAGCAAUCAAACUCAAAGGUGGAAGUCACAUCGAGGCAGAUGAGCAGAUGAGGGGACCUAGAGAAGAAGAGAGGUGCAAGGAGAGCCCAGCCAGCAGGAACAUCUGCCCCAGUAGGCAGCACUGCCCCACAUCAGAGUCGAGGAAAGCAAAGCUCGGAUUGGAUAAAAGAAACUUGCAAACACGGAUGAAGGGAAAAGCUUCAUGACAUUGGAUUUGGCAGUGAUUCCUUGGAUAUGACCCCAAAAGCACAGAUAACGAAAGAAAAAAUAGUUAAAUUGUCUUCAUCAAAAUUAAAACUUUUGUACAUCAAAGAACUCUUUCAAAAGAGUGAAAAAGUCACAGAAUAAGAGAAAAUCAUAUACCUGAUAAAGAAUUAAUAUUCAGAGCCAGAUGCAGUGGCUCAUGCCUGUAAUCCCAGCACUUUGGGAGGCCAAGGCAGGCAGAUCACUUGAGAUCAGGAGUUCGAGACAAGCCUGGCUAAAAUGGUGAAACCCCAGCUCUACUAAAAAUACAAAAAUUAGCCAGGCGUGGUGGCGUGCACCUGGAAUCCCAGCUAUUCGGGAGGCUGAGGCAGGAGAAUCGCUUGAACUCAGAAGGCAGAGGUUGCAGUGAGCCAAGAUCACACCACUGCACUCCAGCCUGGGCGACAAAGUGAGACUCCAUCUCAAAAAAACAAAACAAAACAAAACAAAACAAAGAGUUACUAUUCAGAAUAUAUUAAGAAUUCCUACAACUCAACAACAAAAAAAAAUCCAACCCAAUUAAAAAAUGGGCAACAGACCCAAAUAGACAUUUCUUAGAAGACACACAAAUGGCCAAUAAGCUCAUGAAAACAUGUUUAACAUCACUAAUCAUUAGGGAAAUGCAAAUCAAAGCUAAAAUGAGAUACCACGUCACACUCAUUAGGUGUUAUUUUUUAAAAAUAACACAACAACAAAAAAUAAGAAAUGUGGGCGAGGAUGUGAAGAAAUUGAAACCCUUGUGGACUGUUGUUGGGGAUGUAAAAUGGCGCAGCUGCUGGGGAAAACAGUAUGGGAGUUCCUCACAAAACUAAACAGAAUUGCCAAACGACCCAGCGAUCCUGCCUCUGACAUAUACUGGAAAGAACUGAAAUAAGGCGCUGGAACAGACACUUGUAACCCAUGUUCACAGCUGAGCCAAAAGGUGGGAGUAACCCAAAUGUCCAUCAGUGGAUGAAUACUGGCAAUAAAAGCUGUGUCUGGAGGCCACUCCGUUUCACACAGCUCUCCACACGGGUGAGGGCACAGCCUUCUCGUCUCUUUCCUAUGCUGCAUCUUCAGAGCUAGCUAUGAUAUGAUA